GCCGUCGUAGGACAUGGAGGCCACCUGCCAGCAUUGAAAAUGCAUAUAGAUCUGUUUGAAAGUGGGCGUCGGAGGUUCGAUUCCUCCCGACGGCA